GACGAACGCUGGCGGCGUGCUUAACACAUGCAAGUCGAACGGAAAGGCCCUGCUUUUGUGGGGUGCUCGAGUGGCGAACGGGUGAGUAACACGUGAGUAACCUGCCCUUGACUUUGGGAUAACUUCAGGAAACUGGGGCUAAUACCGGAUCGGAGCUCCUGCUGCAUGGUGGGGGUUGGAAAGUUUCGGCGGUUGGGGAUGGACUCGCGGCUUAUCAGCUUGUUGGUGGGGUAGUGGCUUACCAAGGCUUUGACGGGUAGCCGGCCUGAGAGGGUGACCGGCCACAUUGGGACUGAGAGACGGCCCAGACUCCUACGGGAGGCAGCAGUGGGGAAUAUUGCACAAUGGGCGGAAGCCUGAUGCAGCAGCGCCGCGUGCGGGAUGACGGCCUUCGGGUUGUAAACCGCUUUCGCCUGUGACGAAGCGUGAGUGACGGUAAUGGGUAAAGAAGCACCGGCUAACUACGUG
rnacentral:rRNA from 1 species